AGGCAAAUUAUAGACAGUGACAGUGAAUAAACCUUUAGAAAAUCCUUGCGGAGCCACAACACGUUCCCAUAACCGACACUGAUGAGUUGUGAUAAGGAGUAAAGAGUCCUGUGGGAAUACAGUAAUGUAAUCAUUCAGUUGAAGAGGUCAAGAAUCGGUGGCGGAGCUGCAGGGACCAGUUCCGCAAAGAAAUGAAACAUCGUGGGCGGAGCGGGGCUGGUCCCCCCAAGAAAAGGCCCUAUCUUUUCAGGGAGCAGCUGAUGUUCCUGCGCGAUGUUAUGGAGCUGCGUCCAACUGAAGACAACCUAGAGGAGGAAGCUGAUGAGUCGGGCCCGCACCAAUCAGGUGCAUGUGAGGAGGACAGCAACAUCAAGGCCUCCUGCAGCAUCUGGUGGCGAGUCCCUCACCUCCCCUCUGGCU